GUCGAACGGACUCUUUAGGGAGUUAGUGGCGGACGGGUGAGUAAUGCGUAAGAAUCUAGCUUUAGGUCGGGGACAACAGUUGGAAACGGCUGCUAAUACCGGAUAUGCGGAAACGUGAAAGAUUAAUUGCCUAGAGAAGAGCUUGCGUCCGAUUAGCUAGUUGGUGGGGUAAGAGCCUACCAAGGCGUCGAUCGGUAACUGGUCUGAGAGGAUGAUCAGUCACACUGGAACUGAGACACGGUCCAGACUCCUACGGGAGGCAGCAGUGGGGAAUUUUCCGCAAUGGGCGAAAGCCUGACGGAGCAAUACCGCGUGAGGGAGGAAGGCUCUUGGGUUGUAAACCUCUUUUCUCAGGGAAGAAAAAAUGACGGUACCUGAGGAAUAAGCAUCGGCUAACUCUGUGCCAGCAGCCGCGGUAAUACAGAGGAUGCAAGCGUUAUCCGGAAUGAUUGGGCGUAAAGCGUCCGCAGGUGGUUUUGUAAGUCUGCUGUUAAAGCGUGCAGCUUAACUGCAUAAAGGCGGUGGAAACUACAAGACUAGAGUACGUUAGGGGUAGAGGGAAUUCCCAGUGUAGCGGUGAAAUGCGUAGAGAUUGGGAAGAACACCAGUGGCGAAGGCGCUCUGCUAGGACUGUACUGACACUGAGGGACGAAAGCUAGGGGAGCGAAUGGGGAUUAGAUACNNCCAGUAGUCCUAGCCGUAAACGAUGGAUACUAGGCGUUGUCUGUAUCGACCCGAGCCGUGCCGAAGC
rnacentral:rRNA from 1 species